rnacentral:rRNA from 1 species
GAGCAACGCCGCGUGAGUGAUGAAGGCUUUCGGGUCGUAAAACUCUGUUGUUAGGGAAGAACAAGUGCUAGUUGAAUAAGCUGGCACCUUGACGGUACCUAACCAGAAAGCCACGGCUAACUACGUGCCAGCAGCCGCGGUAAUACGUAGGUGGCAAGCGUUAUCCGGAAUUAUUGGGCGUAAAGCGCGCGCAGGUGGUUUCUUAAGUCUGAUGUGAAAGCCCACGGCUCAACCGUGGAGGGUCAUUGGAAACUGGGAGACUUGAGUGCAGAAGAGGAAAGUGGAAUUCCAUGUGUAGCGGUGAAAUGCGUAGAGAUAUGGAGGAACACCAGUGGCGAAGCGACUUUCUGGUCUGUAACUGACACUGAGGCGCGAAAGCGUGGGGAGCAAACAGGAUUAGAUACCCUGGUAGUCCACGCCGUAAACGAUGAGUG